GGGCACCGGCGAGAGCGUAGAGGUUGCUGGAAAUGGAGGACUUCGCACUGAGAGAACUGCUCCUGGUGGAACAGACCGAGGCCUGCCCGCCUGAAGAGCCGGGCUCCCAGGAAAAAGGAGCUCCUUGCCGCUGUCUGUGAGAAAACUGGGCCCAAAGGGCUCCCUGGGCACGAAGAGAAGAGGGACAGGGUUCCUGGCUCCCUACAACAAAGAGCUACAGCACCUCUUAUUUGUGCUGGAAUUACUUGUGGGCACCAAAAUGAAGGUCUUUUUAAGCUGGACACGGCCCUCACUCAGGCUGUCACUAUGAAGAUACAAUUAUUUUUCUUCCUAUGGGCAACAGAGUAUCCAGGGAAAGAUUAAAUAUCUGUAAUUUAUAUUAACAUAUCCCAAGUUACAGAGUAAUUGUUUUACUCAGUUAUUCAUAAAAAUGUAAGCCUCCAGCAGUUCCAAGAAUUAUCUGUGAAAUAAAAAGCUCUUUUUGAAAAAGUUAUACCAAAUACCAUUUUUCUAUUUUGUUAGAACAUCAAACAUCGAAGAUAAAGUGUUUUACUUUCACUCUGUAGCACCUAUUUAGCAUCUAUUGUAAAAGAAUGAAACUGUGACCCUUUGGCAGCUUAAAAAACACAAUCAAAGAUUAUGUGAAAAAUCUCCUUUUCAUCAUUGCAGUGCUUCUGAGGUAUCAAAUAAUAAAGAAAUAUUAUCACCCCAAAUUUUUUCAAAAACAUGCAUUAAAAAAUUCUGUGCCUUAAGAAACUGUGGAAAUUAAAUAUUAAAGAACAGUUCUUGACACUGGAAGCUCUUUGAAACACGUUAAGCCACACUGGAAGUCAUAGCAGGAAGCCACAUUAUUUCUUGACACAUGGUCCAUUAUCUUAUUUGAUGCCAUGAAUAUUCAUUAGAAUUUACAAUCUUCUAUUAUUUAGUUCACUGCAUUAAACAUCUGCUUUUUUUCCCCCACAAGACCUGAGGGGAAACAAGAUCACCUUCUAUUUAAGUUGGUUAAAAUCAUGAAAGGAUUAUAUAUACACUAUCAUAUUAACUGAAACCAUCAAAAACUAAAGGCUGAUGGUACAUGAAAGUCCUGCAGUUGCUAUUUGUUCUAAGAGGAUGAAUUCUCAAACUGCAAUUUCAAGGGAAGCGCAGAGACCAACAUUACUGUAUGUGUGUGUGAUGCUGUGUUAUGGCAGUGAGAUGCCCGUUUGUGUUGUAACGCGAUGAGCUUACAUCGAAGGGAAUACAAUGCCCAAAUCUGUGAACCCUGCUUGGCUCAUUGAGCUCUGGCAAUCUUGUUGGACUAUGCUGCGAAAGGGGUUGUUGUGUUCUGGGAACAGCAGCUCCAGCAACUGAUAAAUGACAGACCAAGCAUAUAAUUAGUGCCUCUUCAAACUUACCCAGUUUUAUCAUGAUGCAUGGCAAAUAGCACUCGGGAUGACUUCAGAGGUUUGCUAUUCAGAGAAUUUCCUAAUGACCUAUCAUUUGUGCGAUGCUUUCCUGACUAGCUAAGGAUCAGUGUGCCUGAGGGGGGGCGGAAAUGAUAGGAGCUGUGGCUCAAGGAGAAAGCUUUUGGCCUGAAGCUGUGGUAAGAGUUUUAUUUUGAAAGUCAUCCAUAUAAACGCAAAAAAAAAAUGACAUGCCGCCUGAUUAUGCCUGCACACUCAACAGUAACUAGAGGCAAAGAGUCCUCCAGGUACAUAGAGAAUAAUAAAUGACCUUUCCUAUUGCUUGUGAAAGGAGCAGAAAGAGCCACAUCUCAAUCUAUGUACAUUUUUUAAUAAUAACAUGAGGCUUUAUGUCAAUAUUCUGAUAAUUUUAAACAUGGCGUCUAUUGAAAACAUGGAGAACUCAAGUUCCACUUCGAGAAGAUAGUAAUGCAUUUUUCUCUAUAGCAAUGUCCUCACAUUGCCAUCAAAAUUUCUCACUGAAAAUGAAAGAAAUGGGAUUAACUAACAAAACCACACUUCUGUGGUACUAAUUGCUAUUGCAAACAUGUUUAUGAGGUGAAGAGAGCAGUGAUGCAGCAAUAGCUGGGGAAAAGAACAGAUUUCAAUUCCUUUACAUGACAGGAGUAGAGGACAGUAUGCAGCAUUAACAGAGACCAGUAAUAAAGGUGCUGUGGGGCACAGCACAAACACUUGGGGAGUCACCUUGGGCCUGCACCAGGCCAUCCCUGAACGUGGGACAUGAAGAAUGUAGGACCUCUGCUCCACAGUGCCUGCAACAGGGCCCAGUCUAAAUACUUCCCCCAUUAGGAGGACCCAUCUGGAUCAGCCAGGCAUGGGUUAACUCAGUGGCUUGAAGCAAAGCAGAACCACCACCUACCGUCCUACCAGACCAGUGCCAGGCUCUGUGCAGAUGCCUGGUCAGCAGCUCCAUAUGGGCCACAAGAAGCUGAGCUUCACCGAUCAACACUGGCUUGAGCAAAUGCAUCAGGCCUGCUCAGGGGUAGCCAAGAGCCUGGAUGUACAGCUGCAGGCUCUCAUGCAGCACUCUCACUCCUCCCUGUUUGCUCCAGGCCCUGUGACCGCAGUCAGGCUUUAUAGCUUUGUCCAUCACCACUGCUUCAGUUACUGUCCUCCUGCACCCAGGCUGUUUCCAUGCGCUCCUACUGCGUAGAGCCCAGAUCCCAGACUCAGGAGAACUGGGAGGCGAGUACAAAGACAUUUGAAUAUGCCUGCAGGGAUCAGCCUGGCUGUGGCAGUGCCAUUCCUAAGCCAGAACUCCUCCUGGAGUCAGUUUGGAACUCUGAAUUCCAGAACUGAGUGUUGUGUUGAAACUCAAGGUUGGCUUUACACAAGAAAGGUUCAGGACUACUUUAUUAGAUUAGCUCAGUUCUGUGAAAAAAAAAAAUAAAUUGUAUUGCUUCUAACCACUCUGAGGUGUUAGAAUGAGCCCCUGUGGUACGUACUGUAGGCAGGCUACUCCCACUGCUCUCUUGAUUUCACUGGAGCAGGAUACAUCAGUCCCUUUAACAUUAAUGUCUGUCCAUCACACAGACAAAGGUUUGGUGCAGGAGACACCCGAGCAGGGGAAAAAAAAAAACACCACAGUUAAAUGUCACAGGCAAAUGAACAUGCCUGACACCUGUAGAGAAAGAAAUUGUGAUUAAUAAUGUUCUUAUUUCCUUUAGGCAAUCAUGGUAAGCAAGCAGAUUGCGUGCCUUUAUCUGGCUACCUUUGUUUCCCAAUAGAGCCAAAUUUCUGCUUCUCACUUAGAAAAACUGUAAUUGUACCUGACACAGCCUUCACACCGAAUCUGUUAUUUUGUUCAGAAAUUUAAUUAACUUUUGAUUACUUUAAUUUAACACAUUCCGGUAUCUGUUUUGUAAUUGUAUGAAGGACUAAACAAAACACUAAUCUAUUUUUAAUAGUGUAUUUAAUUUUUGCUGCAUACUUUAAACACGCAUAAAAUCAACUGCUCAAAUCACAGGAUUGUUCUUC